rnacentral:rRNA from 1 species
GAUGAACGCUGGCGGCGUGCCUAAUACAUGCAAGUCGAGCGAACAGACGAGGAGCUUGCUCCUCUGACGUUAGCGGCGGACGGGUGAGUAACACGUGGAUAACCUACCUAUAAGACUGGGAUAACUUCGGGAAACCGGAGCUAAUACCGGAUAAUAUAUUGAACCGCAUGGUUCAAUAGUGAAAGACGGUUUUGCUGUCACUUAUAGAUGGAUCCGCGCCGCAUUAGCUAGUUGGUAAGGUAACGGCUUACCAAGGCAACGAUGCGUAGCCGACCUGAGAGGGUGAUCGGCCACACUGGAACUGAGACACGGUCCAGACUCCUACGGGAGGCAGCAGUAGGGAAUCUUCCGCAAUGGGCGAAAGCCUGACGGAGCAACGCCGCGUGAAUGAUGAAGGUCUUCGGAGCGUAAAACUCUGUUAUUAGGGAAGAACAAAUGUGUAAGUAACUAUGCACGUCUUGACGGUACCUAAUCAGAAAGCCACGGCUAACUACGUG